GCUGUAGCUCAGUGGUAGAGCACUUGCCUAGCAUGUGUGAGGCACUGGGUUUGAUUCUGAGCACAGCA
rnacentral:tRNA from 1 species